GUGUUAUAAUUGCACAUGAGGUUUUCCCUAUAAAUUUGGCCAUACUUGGUCAUAUCAUAUUCCGCACAAAGCUUUGAAGAUGAGAGUGGCAGUGGGGGCUUCUUUUUCUCAAUUCAUUGGUGCUGCGUUGGCAACUUUAGCUACUUUCAGUUUUCUCACUAUCUACACUUUCAAGGGAGCCUUAUCCAUCUCUGAUAUCCUCUUUCUCAUUAUUUUAGUUGCUGGAUUCAUGUUUAGAACAGUGGAAGUUGGAUUAUCAUUAUAUUGUGAGAGAAGAAAAGAGUCAUCAGAGAGCAGCCCAUUGUUAAGUGAGGGAGCACCACAUACCGAAUCAUUGCCGUAGAUCACGCCAUCAAUGAAUAGCUGAUGAUCGCCUAAAAUUAUGUCUGCUGUUUGUUUCCAUGUUGUUCCAACUUCUUAUUAUUAGGUCCUAUGUAAUGUCAUGUCAAUGUUAAAUACUGGUAAUUAGAGUAAUAAUCGUUCUAUGUCA